AUGUGUAACACUAAAACUUUACCUGUAGAAUAGCCCCAGGAUGUAACGUGCAGAGUCCUCCGUAAUACAGACCCACACACUUGGUAUUUUCACACGUGGGCGCUCAUAGCAGACGCCAGUAACCAGAAAAAGACCUUUAAGGCAGCUAAAACCAACAGAACUUAUUGGAUGAUGUAUUAACUGAUACAGAAACGGUAAAGCACACUAUGCUCAACACAACUGACGUUCAGUUUUGAGCCACUUCGUUAAAAUGGAAGAGAAAAAUCCCCAAAUAUCGCGAGCCACCCUCUCAAAAUUGUAUAGUACUUAAGGACCUAAAAACGAAACUUUCACUUUUUAACAGACGCCACCAAUUAAGGAAUUUAUAUGCUUCAACAGAAGUAGGACUUCUAUUAUCAUGAGGAGCUAUUCCAGUUAUCCUCUCAAAAUUAUAUUGUAUUUAAGGACCCACAAAACGAAACUUUUUAGUUCUAAACAGACACUCGUGUAAUUAAGGUUUUAACUAGGAAACUCUAUGCAUGUGCCCUUAACAUGUAAGUUUCAACAGAAGUAGGACGUCGUUAACAUCCUGAGGAUGAGCUAUUCCAGGUAUCCACACAUAACUGGGGGCUGCGCGAUAGAGGAUGGAGGACUUGCAUCAUACUCGUAAAUAAAUACACCGGAUUAUGUUGUCAUACCUGGAAGAUACUGAAAAACACACCGCAACUCAUUGAAGUACACCUCGUAUUAUAAAAUAUUCUAUUUAACCAUAAACGGUUAUCGUAUCGACAUACACAACAUUAUACAUCAUACCUGUAAUUUAUAAUAUCGCAAAUGUAACACAAACACGAGUUAUAUUACACUACUAAACCAAAUACUGAUUAGAAGGUCGAGUAAGGUCGGUAAAAUAAAUGUCUAUGCAACAAA